ACGUCAGUUACGAAACUAAAUAGGUCAUGUUGAUAGUUGUAGUUUUUUUUUUAUUUGUGUUUGUUAGUUUUUGUUUUCAAAUGGGCGUGUAAUUGUUUUACAUUCGAUUGUUUACAUCUGCAAAAUUCGCAAUGUCUUUGAACGUCCCUUCAUGAUGCCGGAAGUAACACUACCGGGCAGAAGCUAACGAAGCUCCGACGAUCUAAUGUGUAGUAGCAAUUGCAGAUUGCGCUGUUAACAAACUGCUUUCGCUAUGAACCCGUCGCCCAUUUGACAUGCUAAAUUUGUGACCACCAGGAUAAUUUUACGAGCCCCGCGGCCAACUAGUAGACGGCGUCUCGGAAGAACCAAGUACUUUAGUUAUUUUGCGUCUCCAAUAAGCAAGUGAUUGUACGAGUGGCAUGCUGGACGUGGGGAAGUGGCCAGUGUUUGCCCUCCUCCCGCCUGAGGAACUCGGCCUCAUUCGGCAGGCGUGCGUUUUCGGAAGCGGCGCCAACGAAGCCCUCUAUGUCACUGUCAACGACGAGGUCUUCGGUCUGGGCACCAACUGUAGCAGCUGCUUAGGCCUCGGUGACCUGCAGAGCACCAUCGAGCCACGCAGGAUCGAUGUCCUCUGCGGGAAGAAGAUCGUGUCCCUUAGCUACGGAACCGGACCGCACGUGGUCAUCGCCACUUCGGAGGGCGAGGUGUACGCAUGGGGCCACAACGGCUACAGUCAGCUGGGCAACGGGACCACCGUCCAUGGGCUGAUCCCCGCCCUGGUCUCCACCAACCUGCAGAACAAGAGGGUUACCGAAGUGGCCUGUGGCUCCCACCACACCAUUGCCCUUACCACAGAAGGAGAGGUGUACGCGUGGGGCUACAACAACUCAGGCCAGGUGGGAUCAGGGUCCACCGCCAACCAACCCACGCCGCGCCGGGUCAGCAGUUGCCUGCAGAACAAAGUGGUGGUCAACAUAGCCUGUGGGCAACUGUGCUCCAUGGCUGUGUUGGACAACGGAGAGGUUUACGGUUGGGGCUACAACUGCAACGGUCAGUUAGGUCUGGGCAAUACCGGCAACCAGCAGACGCCGUGCAGGGUUGCAGCUCUUCAGGGAGUCAAGGUUGUCCAGGUAAGAGUGAGGCAUUUGCCUUUGAAUGAUCAUCAGCAAGCCCACCCAGGCCCUUUCUCUCCCGCCUUGCAGGUGGCUUGCGGCUACGCGCACACGUUAGCGCUCACGGACGAUGGCUUUGUUUACAGCUGGGGAGCAAACUCCUAUGGCCAGCUGGGUACGGGCAAUAAGAACAAUUACUCACUCGCCACGCUGAUCAGCACCGACAAGGAGAGGAUCGUGGAGGUGGCGGCGUGCCACACCAGCCACACGUCCGCCGCCAAGACGCAGAGCGGGCAGGUGCUGAUGUGGGGACAGUGUCGCGGUCAGGUGGUGACCAACCCGCACGUCACGCAUUUCAGCUGCACCGACGACGUCUUUGCCUGCUUCGCCACACCCGCCGUCACGUGGCACCUCCUAACCGUUGACGGCGACGACUACCUGACGGUCGCACAGUCGCUAAAAAAGGAGUUUGACAGCCCUGAGAUUUCCGAUUUGAAGUUCCUCGUGGACGGAAAGUGCAUUCAUGUGCACAAAGCGCUGCUAAAAAUAAGGUGUGAAUAUUUCCGCGUGCUGCUAAAUGAAACAGACGAGGACACCAUCGAAAUCCACCAGUUCCCCUUCCUGGUGUACCGAGCCUUCCUGGAGUAUCUCUACACCGAUUCCAUCAACCUGCCACCAGAGGAUGCUGUGGGCCUACUGGACUUGGCCACCUUCUACCGGGAAAGCAGACUCAAGAGGCUGUGCCAGGAGACCAUCAAGCGGGGCAUCUCGGAGGAGAACGCCAUCACUCUGCUCUCGGCCGCCGUCAAGUACGAAGCCCGGGACCUGGAGGAGUUCUGUUUCAAGUUCUGCAUCAACCACCUGACAUCAGUCACACAGACCCAGGCCUUCGCCGAGAUGGACCACGACCUGCUCAAAAAUUUUAUCGGCAAAGCCAGUCGCCAUGGGGCCUUCAGAAACUGACCCCGCCACAAAGCCUGAUCCCCGCCCCGCCCCUCCCACUUGUGAUGACCUCACUCGCUUUCCAACGGCGGUCCGACACAGACCAAGCAAGCAUGAAUGGCGCCUUCACAGAUGUCUUGAGUUAGCCAUUGGCACGAACGCAGCCCCAUGCCAUCACAGAUGCUGGCUUUCCAACUUCCCGCACGACGUCCACAAUUUCCCCAAACAAUUUGAAAUGCGGACUCGUCAGACCACAGAACACUUUUCCACUUUGCAUCAGUCCAUCUAUUAUUAAAAAAAAAACACAGAAACCUGGCACUUGAAUAGGGAUGUGUGGACUUUUUAGCAACAUGAGGAAGAAGUGAUUGUGACCUUUUAUCUCAAGUUCCCCUGGCUCGUUUUUUGAUUUAACUCAACAUCAUUUGGUUCCUUGCUAUUUAAAAUCCAUUUUAUGUUGUGGUUGCCGGUAGGGGGUCCAAUAUGAUACGGCCUGGCAUGUUUGUGACAAAAUUUCCUGUUUGUUUGUUCGGUUAUUGUUUUUUGUUGCGGUUUUGUUUUUUUUGUUUUGGGUUUUUUUUUUUGCCUCGAUGUGUGAAGAUUCAAAAACCACACAAAUGUUUCCGUUGUUACAGUUUAAAGCUGUUAGCGUGGUUGUUUGCACAGAUGUGUGGGUGGGGCAGGUGGCUUGGAGGAGGGGGUGGGGGUUUGUUGUACAAAGCAAGCCAAACGCAGAACUGCACGCUAACGUGCUAAAUGUGGGAACUAUUCAAUCCCUGCGUGUUAUUCGCAGGAAUUCCAACGUGAUGCCGAUGAAGCUAUGUCAGCUGACAUAGCUCGCCAUUCGAGGCUUCAGUCUUGGCCUUGAGUAUGGACGAGGGAGCUCGAGGGAGGUGGGGCGACAUGCUUCCUGGCAUUGUGGGAGCUUCAGCAGUCUUGGGAUUUAGAGCACGCUUUUUUUUUUUUUGUUUGCUUUUGUUCGGCCCGCGCAUGUUUGCGUGUCAGGAGCUUGUUUUUAGGGGAAAGACAAUCGUGACAGGUUGCCUCAGUACACCGUAUGAUGAUUAACACUUCAAGUAUAGCAAAAAAAAAAAAAUGCACUUCAAUGAUGUUCACUCAAAGUGGAUUGUACAAAAAUAUUGUACCCGAAUAAAUGCUCGCGGGCAUUAGACGUGGCUUUGGCCUGAGCACAAAAA